GGAAUCAGGCCGCCACCUCAGCUCCCAUUUUAAGUCCCUUGCUCCCUCUUCGGAACCUCUUCAUUUUGCAUCUUCCUGUGGGUUGAAGGCAGGAGGCAGGGCCAGGCAUCGGGCCUCUCCCAUAUGGAGGGUGGGGCAGACCCCUGACCCUCUCCUUGGCUGUGGUGCUGUGGGGGUGGGGGUGGCCCUGAUGAGUUGGGAAACUCCCUGAAUCGCACUUGUGGGCUCAGUCCUCCGCCGUCUGUGGGCGGCCCCAGAAGAGCGAGGCCCCACAUUCAAUGCCUCCUGCCAAGUGAGGCUGUGCUGAAGACGCUCCCUGAGAAGAAAGAUGGGCCAGGGUGCAGCCAUGUUUCUUCCCAGAGGAAACCUUUGCCCCUGCCUCGUCUCCUUGAGAGAAGAAACACCCCUGUCCUCCCGUUUUGGAGGUCUAGCCAGGGCCAUAGUGCUGCUUACCUGCUCAAGAUUCACCCAGCACAGAGGACUGUGUUAAGUGGUGCCCAGUGGUGAAAGGUGGUGGUCUUCAUGCUGGUGAGAGCUGGUUAAAACAGGGGUUUCUUUCUUCCAGAAGCAAGCAAUCAGCCACAAGGUGCUGAGAGCCCCUGAACCGAAUUACCCGCCGCUGCCUUUCUUCACCAGCAUCCCGGGUGGGCUGUACCCCUCCAAGAGCAUCAUCGUCUCGGGCACCGUCCUGCCCAGUGCUCAGAGGUUCCACAUCAACCUGCGCUCUGGGAGUGACAUCACCUUCCACCUGAACCCCCGUUUCGAUGAGAACACUGUGGUCCGCAACACACAGAUCAAUUGCUCUUGGGGGCCUGGGGAGCUAAGCCUGUCCCAAAAACUGCCCUUCACCCGGGGCUAGUGCUUCUCGGUGAGCUGCACUCAGAGGGGCUCCCAUGGGGCAGACAGAGCAGGGGGCGGGCGCGCUGGGGGCCCCUGGAACGAGAUGGGAGCUGAGCCUCUGGGUGAGGGCUGGGCCCAGAAGAAGAGAAAGUGCUCAACCCAUUGUUGUUAUUAUGUUACUAUUUCCUCCCACGUAUGGCAGGUAGGGGAUCUGCUGUUUACAGGUGAGGAAACAGACUCACAAUGCAGGUUACUCGCCUGAGGUCACACAGCCGAUCAGCGCCAGAUGGAACCCAAUAAUGAGGGUCCUUCCUCAUCCACUCACUCACUCCCUCACUCACUCACUCAUUCAAUCGACAGUCAUUUCUCAGCUGUUCUAUCAGGGCCCACUUUGUGCAGGAAGUGCCCUAGGAGCGGGGGGACAGCCACGAAGCAGACAGACGAGGUCCUGCCCCCUCAUAGUUGACGGUUCAGGUGGGAGAGGACAAGGACACAGGUGCUUGGACAGGUCCUUGCAGAUGACAGCAGGUUCUCUGCAGAAGGCAACACAGAGUAAGGGGACAGCAUGAACUCGG